CUAGGAGAACCGAAAACAGUUCUAGACAGACCUGGGGUUUUAUAGCACUUUUGGCAGUCAACUUCAGGUUGUGCCUGAGCAGACCGGCUGCGGUGGCCCGCCAGCGGGGGACACCAGCCGCCUCCCCCAGCUGCACGCAGCCUCUCUCCUAAUUAUAUCGGUUUCCCCUGGGUGCCAAGAAGAAGGGGUUCCCACAGAAAGG
rfam:Pteropus vampyrus cont1.99869, whole genome shotgun sequence.